rnacentral:lncRNA from 1 species
GUCCCCGCCCUGAGGACCAUGGCAGCUUUGGCAGGAGGAAAUAUAACACACAGACCACGAGACUCUAAGAACACAAGGGUGUCCAAAGGGAGAAAGACCAUGAAAGAGAUGAUUAAGGUCCUUUUCCAAGGGAGAGAGCAUAGCAUGAAACAGUGGACCUGGGCGUGGUCUCGAGUCAGACCGAGGACUUCACACUCCAGCUCACCACUACGAGGCUGUGCGACCUGGGUCACGCGACUUACUGUGUGCCUGCAGCAGGAAAUGGAGCAGGGUGACACGUGCGGGCGUGGAUGUAGACUGUGCUUCCUGUCUCAGCUUCCUGGCGCACCGUGUGAUCCUCCCCCACACUCCUGACAUCUAACAGGACUACCGGAUCUUGGACUGUGAACCUCCAAAACCGUGAGCCAAAAUAGUUUCUCCCUUCCUAAGGGAGCUCCUCUCAGGUACUUUUUAGAGUGAGGGAAAGCUCACUGGCUUAUAUUCACAUUCCUCUAGGUUACACAUAGGCCUUGUCAGUGGUGCAUGGGCACCAAAGCUAUAUCAACCUCCAGACCCUCAGCUUAAAUAUAUUGUUUUCCUGAAAGCUAACGAUCCUACGUCUCCCUAUCUCAAACCAGGAAAGCAGUUUUGGCAUAAUGAUACUAAGGAUUGCAUUUAAAUUUUUUUAAAAGACUUAUUUAUUUAUUUGAAAGUCAGAGUUACACAGAGAGAGGGAGAGAGAGAGAGAGAGGUCCUCCAUCCACUGGUUCACUCCCCAACUGGCUGCAUUGGCCGGGGCUGCACUGAUCUGAAGCCAGGAGCCAGGAGCUUCUUCCGGGUCUCCCAUGUGCAUGCAGGGGCCCAAGGACUUGGGCCAUCUUCUAGUGCUUUCCCAGGCCACAGCAGAGAGCUGGAUCGGAAGUGGAGCAGCCAGGUCUUGAACCAGCACCCAUAUGGGAUGCCAGCACUGCAGGCAACAGCUUUACCUGCUACGCCACAGCGCCAGCCCUUAAAUGUUCUUAUAAUAUACAUAUUCUAGCUAUCUAACCUAACCCAACUGUGAUUUUAAGAUGUAGGAAGCUAAGUCCCAGUGAGAUUUUCUGACAUUUAAAGGUAUUUACAGUUCUGCAUUACCUUCCACUUAUUUGUUUAUUUGUUUGAGAGAGAGACGGACAGGGAUUUCCCAUCUGCUGGUUCACUCUCCAAAUGUCUGCAAAAGCCAGGCUGAGACAGGGCCAAAGCCAGAGCUGGAAACUCAAUCUGGGUCUUGCACAUGAGUGACAUGAGACAUUGCUGCAGGCUCCCAAGCUCUGCACCUGCCGAAGCUGGAUUCAGGAGUCGGAGACGGGUAUUGAACCCAGGUACUGGGAUGUGG